CGGUUGAUCCUGCCGGACCUGACUGCUAUCGGAUUGAUACUAAGCCAUGCGAGUCUUUGCAGUAAUGCAAGGCGGACUGCUCAGUAACACGUAGUCAACUUAACCUAUGGAUGGGUAUAACCUCGGGAAACUGAGAAUAAUUCCCAAUAGAUCAUUUAUCCUGGAAUGGUUGAUGAUUGAAAUGAUUCGUCGCCAUAGGAUGGGACUGCGGCCUAUCAGCUUGUUGGUGAGGUAAAGGCCCACCAAGGCUAUUACAGGUACGGGCUCUGAGAGGAGAAGCCCGGAGAUGGGUACUGAGACACGGACCCAGGCCCUAUGGGGCGCAGCAGGCGAGAAAACUUUGCAAUGUGCGAAAGCACGACAAGGUUAAUCCGAGUGAUUUCUGCUAAAGAAAUCUUUUGCCAGUUCUAAAAAUACUGGUGAAUAAGGGGUGGGCAAGUUCUGGUGUCAGCCGCCGCGGUAAAACCAGCACCUCAAGUUGUCAGGAGGAUUAUUGGGCCUAAAGCAUCCGUAGCCGGCUCUGUUAGUUUUCGGUUAAAUCCAUAUGCUCAACAUAUGGGCUGUCGGAAAUACUGCAGAGCUAGGGAAUGGGAGAGGUAGACGGUACUCGGUAGGAAGGGGUAAAAUCCUUUGAUCUAUCGAUGACCACCUGUGGCGAAGGCGGUCUACCAGAACAUGUUCGACGGUGAGGGAUGAAAGCUGGGGGAGCAAACCGGAUUAGAUACCCGGGUAGUCCCAGCUGUAAACGAUGCAGACUCGAUAAUGCACUGGCACAUAGCCAGUGCAGUGUCGCAGGGAAGCCGUUAAGUCUGCCGCCUGGGAAGUACGUACGCAAGUAUGAAACUUAAAGGAAUUGGCGGGGGAGCACCACAAGGGGUGAAGCCUGCGGUUCAAUUGGAGUCAACGCCGGG
rnacentral:rRNA from 1 species